ensembl:snRNA U6 U6 spliceosomal RNA
GUGCUCGCUUCGGCAGCACAUUUACUAAAAUUGGAACGAGACAGAGAUUAGCACGGCCCCUGCGCAAGGGUGACGUGCAGUUUGUGAAGGGUUUCAUAUGUUU